UGGGGAAUAUUGCACAAUGGGCGAAAGCCUGAUGCAGCAACGCCGCGUGAGUGAUGAAGGCCUUCGGGUUGUAAAGCUCUGUCUUUUGGGACGAUAAUGACGGUACCAAAGGAGGAAGCCACGGCUAACUACGUGCCAGCAGCCGCGGUAAUACGUAGGUGGCAAGCGUUGUCCGGAUUUACUGGGCGUAAAGGAUGCGUAGGCGGAUUUUUAAGUGAGAUGUGAAAUACCCGGGCUUAACUUGGGUGCUGCAUUUCAAACUGGGAAUCUAGAGUGCGGGAGAGGAGAAUGGAAUUCCUAGUGUAGCGGUGAAAUGCGUAGAGAUUAGGAAGAACACCAGUGGCGAAGGCGAUUCUCUGGACCGUAACUGACGCUGAGGCAUGAAAGCGUGGGUAGCAAACAGGAUUAGAUACCCUGGUAGUCCACGCCGUAAACGAUGAGUACUAGGUGUAGGAGGUAUCGACCCCUUCUGUGCCGCAGUUAACACAAUAAGUACCCCGCCUGGGAAGUACGAUCGCAAGAUUAAAACUCAAAGGAAUUGACGGGGUCAUAGCUGUUUCCU
rnacentral:rRNA from 1 species